rnacentral:lncRNA from 1 species
UUUAUUCUUAUCCUAUAAAUUUUGAAAAUAUGUGUGGAUUGUGGGAGAAUUUUCAAAUUUUAACUAGCCAUGGGUCUUUUUUAUUUUACAAGUGUCCUAUCUAUUUCCAAGUGGCUUCUUGCAUAAAGCUUCGUGGCCAAAUACUCUUAGAUAAUUGGUACAUGAAAAGUACAAUUUGCGGAAACCAACACAGCCUAACAUCGGGGUGUCACCAGUCAUGAGCAUCUAACACAAAUCUAAGAGUAUGAAAGAGUUUAUAUAGUCUAUUACCGAAUUAGAACAAGGGAAGUAAAAUACGAGGGAGAAACACUAGGCUGGGAACGCCGAGCUACUACCUAGUGGACUCCGAAUAGCCUGCUGGGAGCAAUCAACCCUCAAUGGUGGGACCUGAAGCUCUUAAAUUUGCACACAGGGUGCAGGGAGUAAAGUGAGUACUCCAACUCAGUGAGUAAUAACAAUAAAUAAAGACUGAGCGAUAAGAAAUCACGUAAAACACAACAACAUGCUAUAAAGAGGUAGUGUAAAACCAAUAAAAAGCAAUAAAAUAGUGAAAUCUUAUAAAAACACCUUAGUUAAGUAUAAGCUUCUUUAAAACACAUUUUUAACAUCUAAACAAGUAAAUGAAAAGCAACAAGAAAGAUACACACAUAAAAUCCGCCCCUCGGGCACAAUGUUAACAAAAUCAGCCCCUCGAGCAAUAACAUGGAACAACACCAGCCCAUCGGGCUAUAUCACAUAUCACACUAGGUACCCGCGCUCACUAGGGGUGUACAGACUCCGGGAGGGGCCCCUUACGGCCCAAGCACAAUAUCAAGUCAUCUCGUGGCAUAAUCAAUAGGCUCUCGGCCUCACAUCAAGCCACAUUGUGGCGUACAACUUAGGCCCUCGACCUUAUAAUCAUAAUCAGUACAACACUGCUGCGGCCUGAAGCCUGAUCACAUAAUAAUCCUCACAACACAGGCCCUCGGCCAUACUCAGUCAGAAAUCUCUAAAAGCCACUCGGGCAAAGUAAAACAUGAUGCUCGGCCCCAAAAUAUCAUAUAAGAUGUCAAAACAGAAUAAACAUGGAUGGGUUAUAAAAACAAUAAAGUAUAGCAUGACUGAGUACAAGUAUAAAGUUAAAACAGUGAGGAAAUAGUAGUAAAAGUCCCCUAAGGAUCAAAACAGUUGGUACGAGGCCCAAAUAUGGCAUUCAGCCCAAAACAUGAUGAUAGCAAAUAAUUUUCAAUCAAAUAUGUAGUAAAAUAGUCAUACGGGAUGGACUAAGUCACAAUCUCCAACGGUGCACGACCCCAUGCUCAUCAUCUAGCAUAUGCGUCACCUCAAUACAACACAACAAUGUGAAAUCUGGGGUUUCAUACCCUUAGGACAACAUUUACAAUCAUUACUCACCUCUACCCGAUCCGAACUCUAGCCCACGAUGCCCUUGCCUCUCGAAUCGGCCUCCGGAUGCUCCAACUCUAACCAAAAUCACUGCAAACCCAUAGAAAUAUGCUAAGGUAACAAAGCCCACUCGAAAGAAAUCAAAUUACAACCCAAAUCCCAAAAUUGGCUAAAUAUGACCCCCAGGCCCACAUCUCGGAAUCCAAUUAAAAUUACAUCAAUAGACUCCUUAUCACUCCCCGAGUUCAUUCAUAUCAAAAUCACCAAAAUCCAACCACAAACGACCCCUCAAAUCCCAAAUUCUAGGUCUCCAAUUACAAGCCCUAGUUCUUCAAUAUUUAGGCUUAAAUUCUAGAAAUUCCAUGGUUAAUUAGGUAGAAAUCACAUUAUAAUUGAGUAUUAAAUCCGUAAAUCUUACCUCCAAGUUUUCCCCCUUGAUUCCCUCUUCAAUCGUCUUCAAAAAGCUUCAAAAUCACCCAAAAAUGGAGGAACUUAUGCUCAAAAUCACGGAAUAGGCCUUUUAAACAUUCUACCCAGCUAUUUCAAUUCCUUCUUUGCGAAUUCGGUCAACGCCUUGCAUUCGCGAAUCGUAAACUUAAGUUGACAAAUUUUCCUUCUUCGCGAACACGUCUCUCCUCUCGCGAACGUAAAGGCUCAACUUCCCAGCCAAUCGCGAAUGCAGCUCCCAUCUCGCAAACGCGUAGCUUGAUGCCCCCAACCCUUCGCGAACGCGGGACCUCCCUCGCGAACGUGAAGGCCAAACCUUUAGCCUCACAUUCUAGCCCUUAGCGAACAUGAAGGUCCACUCACGAACGCGAAGCACUACUGUUUGCAACACUACAACAAAUGUUUCUGCAAUUUAUUCAACAUGAAAUGGUCCGUUUGACCACCCAAAACUCACCUGAGGCCCUCGGGACCUCAACCAAACAUGGCAACAUGUCCCAUAACAUCAUUCAAACUUGUUCCAACCUUUGGAACGCUCAAAACAACAUCAAAACACCAAAUUUGCAUCGGAUUCAAGCCUAAGAAUUCUAAAAACUUCCAAAUUCCGCUUUUGAUCAAAAAGUCUACCAAACCACGUCCGAAUGACCUAAAUCCCAAAUGACACAAAGGACCUACUGCAACUCCCUAAAUUCCAUUCCGAACCCUAUAUCAAAAUCUCACCUAUCAACCGGAAAUCGCCAAAAUUCCAAUUUUGCCAAUUCAAGCCUAAAUCCACUCCUGACCUCCAAAACACAUUCCGAUCACGCUCCUAAGUCCCAAAUCACCUCCCGAAGCUAUCCGAACCAUCAGAAAUCACAUCUGAUACCUUUAACACAUAAGUCAACAUCCGGUUGACUUUUUCAACUUAAGCUUCCUCAAAAUAGACUAAGUGUCUCAAACCUUACCUAAACCUCUCCGAACCCGAGUCAACCAACCUGAUAAUACAAAAUACAACUGAACAAGGCAAUAAGAAGCAAAAAUUGGGGAAAUGGAGCGGUAACUCAUAAAACGACCGGUCGGGUCGUUACAUCCUCUCCCUCUAAAACAAAUGUUCAUCCUCGAACGAGUCAAGAAACACACCGGAUACCUCAAAUAUGAGAGGAUAUCUUCUCCGCAUAUCCCCUUCGGUCUGCCAGGAAGCCUCCUCCACGAGCCGACCUCUCCACUGCACUUUCAUUUAAAUUAUAUCCUUUGACCUCAACUUUCGAACCUGAUGCUCCAAAAUAGCUACUGGCUUCACAUCAUAAGUCAAAUCAUCAUCUAGUUGAACCGUGCUAAAAUCUAAAACGUAAGACGGAUCCCUAAUAUAUUUCCGGAGAAUAGAAACAUGAAAUACCAGAUGCACACUUGACAAGCUGGGUGGCAAAGCAAGCUCAUAAGCCACCUCCCCAAUCCUCCGAAGCACCUCAAACGGCCCAAUGAACCGAGGACUCAAUUGACCCUUCUUACCAAAUCUCAUAACACCCUUCAUGGAUGAACGCUUCAACAGAACCUUCUCACCAACCAUGUAGGAUACAUCCCGAAUCUUCCGGUCAGCAUAACUCUUUUGUCUCGACUGCCCAUUAUGAAGCCUCUCCUGAAUUACCUUCACCUUUUCUAAAGUAUCCUGCACCAAGUCUGUCCCCAAUAGCCUAGCCUCACCCGGCCCAAACCAACCAACUGGAGAUCUACACCGCCUCCCAUACAAAGCCUCAUAUGGAGCCAUUUGAAUGCUCGACUGGUAGCUAUUGUUAUAAGCAAACUCCGCGAGCGGUAGAAACUGAUUCCAUGACCCUCUAAAAUCAAUAACACAAGCACACAAUAUGUCCUCCAAUAUCUGAAUAGUGUGCUCGGACUGCCCCUCCAUCUGAGGGUGAAAAACGUGCUCAACUCAACUUGAGUACCCAACUCUCGCUGCACAGACCUCCAAAACUGCAAGGUAAAUUGAGUGCCCCUAUCUGAAAUGAUGGAAAAUAGGACAUCAUACAAACAAACAAUCUCCUGGAUAUAGAUCUUUGCCAACCGCUCUAAAGUAUAGGUAGUACACACAGGAAUGAAGUGCACGGACUUGGUCAGCUGAUCCACAAUCAUCCAAAUAGCAUCGGACUUCUGCAAAGUCCGUGAGAGCCCAACUACAAAGUCCAUGGUGAUACACUCCCACUUCCACUCUAGAAUAUCCAUUUGUUGAAGCAAGCCACCCGGUCUCUGAUGCUCAUAUUUCACCAGCUGACAAUUGAGACACUAAGACACAAAUCCCACAAUGUCCUUCUUCAUUCUCCUCCAGCAAUAAUGUUGUCUUAGAUCUUGAUACAUCUUUGCAGCACCAGGAUGAAUGGAAUACCGCGAGCUAUGGGCCUCCUCCAGAAUCAAAUCCCGAAGACUAUCUAUAUUGGGCACACAUAUCCGGCCCUGCAUCCUCAACACCCCAUCAUCAUCAACAGUCACAUCUCUGGCAUUAUCGUGCUGAACUUUGUCCUUAAGGACUAGCAAAUGAGGAUCAUCAUAUUGGCGCUCUCUGAUACGAUGAAAUAAAGGAAGACCGAGAAAUCACACAAGCCAAUACCCGACUGGGAUCCGAAAUAUCCAACCUCACGAACCAAUUGGCCAAGGCCUGAACAUCAACUGGAAGAGGUCUCUCCCCAACUGGAAUAUAUGCCAAACUCCCCAUACUCGCGCCUUCUUACUCAAAGCAUCGGCCACCACAUUGGCCUUUCCCGAAUGGUACAAAAUAGUAAUAUCAUAAUCCUUUAGCAACUCCAACCAUCUCCGCUAUCUCAAAUCGAGAUCUUUCUGCUUGAACAAGUGCUGGAGGCUAUGAUGAUCAGUAAAAAACUCACAAGACACACCAUACAAAUAAUGCCUCCAAAUCUUCAACGCGUGAACAAUGGCAGCCAACUCCAAAUCGUGAACAGGGUAGUUCUUCUCAUGGGGCUUCAACUGACGAGAAGCAUAAGCAAUAACUUUACCCUCCUGCAUCAACACACACCCAAUACCAACUCUCAAAGCAUUACAAUAUACGGUAUAUGAACCUGAAGCUGAUGGCAAAACAAAUAUUGGAGUUGUGGUCAAGGCAGUCUUAAGCUUCUGAAAGCUCUCCUCACACUCAUUUGACCACUUGAAUAGAGCACCCUUUUGAGUCAACUUGGUCAAGGGCGAUGCGAAAGAUGCGAAUCCCUGAACAAACCGGCGGUAAUAACCCGCCAAACCAAGAAAGAUACGAAUCUCUGUGGCCGAGGACGAUCUGGAUCAACUCUGAACAGCCUCUAUCUUCUUCGGAUCAACCUGAUACCCUCACUGGACACCACGUGCCCCAAGAAAGCCACUGAACUGAGCUAAAACUCACAGUUGGAGAACUUUGCAUAAAGCUUCUCCUCCCUCAAUCUCUGCAACACAACUCUCAAAUGCUCCGCGUGCACCUUCUGACUAUGCGAAUACACCAGAAUAUCAUCAAUGAAAACUAUGAUGAACGAGUCGAGAUACGGUCGGAACAUAUUGUUCAUCAAAUGCAUAAACGCUGCUGGGGCAUUGGCCAGCCCAAAAGACAUCACCAAUAACUCAUAAUGACCAUAUCGGGUCCUGAAAACCGUCUUAAGAAUAUCCAAGUCCCUGAUCUUCAACUAGUGAUAACCUGAACAGAGAUCAAUCUUGGAGAACACUCUCGCUCCCUGAAGCUGCUCAAACAAAUCAUUGAUACAAGGCAAAGGAUAAUUGUUCUUGAUUGUUAUUUUGUUCAACUGCUUGUAAUCAAUGCAUAUCCUCAUAGUUCCAUCCUUCUUCACAAAUAAAACCGGUGCACCCCAAGGCGAUACACUAGGCCGAAUGAACCCCAUAUCAAGGAGUUCCUGAAACUGCUCCUUUAACUCCUUCAACUCCGAUGGUGCCAUAAGAUACAGUGGAAUAGAAAUGGGCUGAGUUCCCAGCACCAGAUCAAUACAAAAAUCACUAUCCUUGUCCGGUGGCAUGCCUGGCACGUCAGCAGGAAACACAUCGGGAAACUCCCUCACAACAUGAAUAGAAUCAAUACUUGGAGUCUCUGCACCGACAUCCCUAACAAAGGCUAGAUAUGAAAGACAACCCUUCCCAACCAUCCGCUUGGCCUUCAAGAAUGAAAUUACCCUAUUGGAAACAUAAUCAGUCGAACCUCGCCACUCAAUCCGUGGCACACCUAACAUAGCCAAUGUCAUUGUCUUAGCAUGACUGUCCAAAAUAGCACGACACGAAGAUACCAAUACAUGCCCAAUAAAACAUCGAAGUCUACCAUACAUAACAAAAACAGAUCCACUCGAGUCUCCAGACCCCCAAUAGUCACCACAUAUGACCGGUACAUGCGAUCUACAACAACAGUAUCGCCCACCGGAGUAGAUACACGAACAGAUGAAACGAGAGACUCACAGGGUAUAUCUAAAUAACGAGCAAAGUAUUAUGACACAUAAGAAUAAGUGGAACCGGGAUCAAAUAAUACAGAGGCAUCUCUGUGGCAGUCUGAGAUAAUACCUGUGAUCACGGAGUCUGAAGCAAUAGCAUCGGGUAUGUCAUACCUCCUUUUUCCUACAACCUCGUAAGGGAGUAUAAAGGGAGUUUUUUCAACUUAAAGUGAAAAUCGAAACGAGAUUAUUUAUUUAUUAAACUCAGAGUCGCCACUUGGGAUAAAUUAUGGUGUCCCAAGUCACCGGUUCAAAUCCCAAAUCGAGGAAAAGAUUGAUUCUGUAUUACAGUAUGCGAACAUAGAAAUCGGGGUAAGGAAUUCUGUUAACUCGGGAGAAGGUGUUAGGCAUUCCCGAGUUUCGUGGUUCUAGCACGGUUGCUCAACUGUUAUAAUUUGCCUAUUAUCUGAUUUUAAUACAUGUUUUAGCCUAUGGUGCCAUUUUAACUUAUUAACCGCUCUUAUUCAUUUUUAGGAAGAUUGUAACGUCAUUUAAAAUAUGUCUUGAACCACGUCACAUAAAUGCACCCGCAGUCCGCAACACAUUUUAUAUAACAUUGUCGAGAUUUGGAUUUGGGUCACAUAAAUGCGCACCCGAGUUUAGGAAGGUAAAUUAUUAAAUAGCGCGUCUAAAGAAACUACGAUGCAUUCAUUUCCUAUACUAAUCUAUUAUGGAGGUCAUGAUUUAAGGAUUGAACUACAGUACGCCCGCUAUUUUACAUUGUAACAAGACUAAGAAAUUUCAACACUUUUAUCUAUUUUUUUAAUCCUUAAGCAAAUGAUGUUGUAUCUACUAUCUACUAUAUUUACAUCCUCAUUUCACACCAAAAAGCUAAAAGACAAAUAUAUAUAUAUGUAUUAUAAAAUAUGUUGUUCCCUACUUUGCUGUCAAAGCAUAAGUUCCAUUUUUUCCAUAUAAUCCAUCUUAUAUUAUCUCAAAUAAAUAGCAACAACAAUAAGUGAAACAAAAUAUAAGAAUGGAAAUAAAAUUAAUUUUAAGGUGAAAUAUAGGUAAACAAAAAGAUCACAUAUAAGACAAAUCACAAACAUUAUUAAUAAAUCAUUUUAAAAGAGAGGACAGAAACAUUCGCAUUUUUGGAUUCAUGAUUUUUGACGCCAAAGUUUAUAAAUUCAAGCUAACCUUACCUGCCAAAUCAUUUUUCAUUAAUCUCACGCCUAAUUUUCAACCCCUGUCAGUGGAUACCAUUCCAAUUCUCUUUAACAAAAUUUAAAUUGCUUUGUCACAUUUAACAAGUAAAUAGUAGCAUAGUUUCAUGUAGUCACUAAACACAAUAUAGGCAUGAAAGGCAAUAACAAUGAAGAUAGACCGAACAAAACAUAAACAUGAAGAAUGGAUUAUCUACUAACUCAAACCACAAACAAGGUAAGGCAACAGAGGAUUCAUGACAAUAAAUUAGAAUGAAAGUAGAGAAGGAACAGAAAUGACAGACCUUUUAUAUACAUGGAAAUUUAUUGACUACAAAGAUGUGAGCUCGACGUGAGAAUUCAAACAAAACCGAACCAGGCACGGAGAACUCGCCGACGACCUCGAACAAGGAUCUGGACAAAAAUUAUAGCGACUCGACUAGAUUUGGACAGCUAUUUCGAGUGUAAAGGAAUCGGUUCGAUGGAUGUUUGCGGCUGGUUUUGGACGGCAUUUCAUUGGAUAUCUGGUGCUAAUUUUGGGACAGUUCUUUUGGGAUUUUUGGACUGUUUUUUCAGCAAUUUCGCAGCUGGUUUGGCUCCUCUUUAGAGCUCUUUUGCGGACAGUUUUUGAGGCUAGUUUGGGUGACGUUUUUGGGGUUGAAUUUCAGCUUGGUUUAGGGCUCUUUUCGUGGUGGUUUCGGGUGUUUCAGGGGUGUUUGAGCUGAAGUUUUUGAGGUUGAAAAGCUAUGGAUGAAGCUAGUUUUUGGGUGAAGCAACAACGGGUUUCAGCUACGUUUUCUUUUGGAUGCUUUUGGCUGCUUCUUAUUACUGAUUUUAGAGGGUCCUGUGGUUACUUUUGUCAUGAGAAGGGAUGGCCUUAUAUGGCUAUGAAAAUUUGAUGGAAAAAGAGAAUGAAGUUUCCACCAGGAAGAAGAAGCAAAGAAUGGCGGAUGCUCCUCUUCAAUCCAAUUGUUGCCGCUGUUUUUUAGUCUAUAUCUAGAUCCUCAAAACGGCGGAUCUAUUUUU